rfam:Stegodyphus mimosarum contig11582, whole genome shotgun sequence.
GGCUUUGUGGUGGAGUGGUCAGGACGCUGGGCGCGUAUUCCAGAAGUCCGUGGUUCGAAUCCCGGCGAAGGCG